UACGUAGGGUGCAAGCGUUAAUCGGAAUUACUGGGCGUAAAGCGUGCGCAGGCGGUUUUGCAAGUCUGGCGUGAAAUCCCCGGGCUUAACCUGGGAAUGGCGAUGGAGACUGCAAGGCUAGAGUUUGGCAGAGGGGGGUAGAAUUCCACGUGUAGCAGUGAAAUGCGUAGAGAUGUGGAGGAACACCGAUGGCGAAGGCAGCCCCCUGGGUCAAAACUGACGCUCAUGCACGAAAGCGUGGGGAGCAAACAGG
rnacentral:rRNA from 1 species